GCAGGGCACGGUGGCUCGUGCCUGUAAUCCCAGCACUUUGGGAGGCUGAGGUGGGUGGAUCACCUGAGGUCAGGAGUUCAAGACCAGCCUGGCCAACAUGGUGAAACCCCAUCUCUA
ensembl:misc_RNA Metazoa_SRP Metazoan signal recognition particle RNA